UUGGAAUUAUUAUGCAUCCAUUCUAUUAGCCGAUCAAAGCUUGCUACAUCAUUGUCUUCUUCCGUUCCAUUAUGCAACCAAUACAUGUCUACCAUGUGUGCAAUUACUUUUGAUAUGUUCAAUAAAUUAAAGAAAGAACAAAAAGAAAAAGAAAUGAAAAAAAACUAGGGCCACGUGUGGAAAUUUGAGGACAAGAGAAAUAUACGUAUCUGACAUAUAUACAUAAGAAGAGGCAGCUGGGUUUUUUGAGAGACUACGCCGACAGCAAGAAAGGAAAAGAAAGAAAAAAAUGAGAAAAGAAAAAGAAAAAAAUACACUAUUUUGUUAGUUUUAGUUUUAAGUAUUUUAUUUAGCGAUUUUAUUUAGCAAUUGGGAAAAAAACCAAGAGGAAGAAGAAGAUGAUUUUAGAGGGGGGCUUGGAGUCUUGUGACAAACUCCAGAAGGUAAGGGCAAAGAGAAAGUCAACCAGCCAUGAGCACGGAGAGCGUGGGGGCGGCGCGUACAUGUUUGGCCUACCCGACUGCUUUGGUUGGGGGCAUUUUGAGAAAUGGCUGUACUAAACUCUGUUUUUGAUAAUUAGUCAGCUGUAAAUCUAUUUUGAGUUGUAAAUAUUUUACAAACCUCGUUUUGGGAUCCCAAAUGUUAAACUCUUGGAACUUUUAGUGAAAUGGAGUACUUUUAAAGAUUACAGCCUUGUCUUUUUGUUUAAUCACACUUUUGUUCUAAAAACCUCGCUGAGCGAGUUAAUCGCACAUUUUAAACUCAUUUAGUAACGGCUCUAAGGUAGUAGGGCAUUACAGGAGACGCACCCCUGACACUGCCAGAACACAGAUGCACGCUUUCCCAUGUCAGGUAGCACAUUGGGACAUGGCAAUUGUCGAGUGUACGGGCUCGACACCACUACUCGAGGCACCAAAAGUUGUCAGACGGUCGCUUGUGGUCCAAAGUCACUGUGAUUGACACUUGACAUUCCCUUCAAGUCCCGAGGACAAACUCCUAGACCUGGAGGACUAACUGACCAAGAAGGCAAGAUGACCACAAUGGAGGUCCUCGGGACGUGACCUAACUUGAAGACAUCUAAGCCUGGAAAUGGAUCAUAACGCAUUGGGAGGAGCUUACGCUCCUAAGAGCUCUAGGUGAGCUCCACGUGACUUCAUUAACUCUCGAUGAGCCUAACUACUUGUCUAAUGAAUGUCACGUCUCCAACAUUGAAAUCACGAAGAACAAAUGUCAAUAUGUAUGUUUAUUGAAUUUUAUUUAGGAGCUUACACUCCUAAGAGCUCUAGGUGAGCUCCACGUGACUUCAUUAACUCCUGAUGAGCCUAACUACUUCUCUAAUGAAUGUCACGUCUCCAACAAUGAAAUCACGAAGAACAAAUGUCAAUAUGUAUGUUUAUUGAUUUUUAUUUAGGUUUUUUUUUUGUCGAGUUCAUUUUUGUAUUGUUAUAUAUUUGAAUGAUAAAAUGUUAUAUGCUUGAAUUUUUAAUUGUCAUAGAAAUAAAAGAUAAUUAAACAUAUAAAUUCAUUUUAAAUAAUUUAUGUACAUAAAAUUUAUUUUAAUUUUUUUAUCUAAACAUUAUUAAUUAUCACACAAUAUUUAUUUUACACUAUAAUUCCGGUCAGUCUUACAAAACAUGAUAAAGAAUGUAAUUACUACUUGACAUUAACAACCAAUAUUUUUUAAAAUACUAUGAUAUUGUAAUUAGUAGCCUGAUAAUUACAUAGUCACAUCUUAAAUCUUAAAGAACUUUCUUUUCAAGCAUUACUACAGUGUUGCCUUUCCCCAAAACAAUUAUAAAGAUAAUCUUGUAACUUCUAUGGAAAAGAUUAAUAGAGUUACGGAUACCAGAAGAACAUGACCCUUUCACUAUAGCUUUUGUAAUUUUGGCUUAAAAGAUUAAUUUCGCUUAGAACAAUUGAAGAAUCCAUUUUACAACAAUUGUGAUUGUAGCUUUGACUAUACACCAUGUUGUAAAAUUGUCUUCCAUUUGGAGAAGGCCAGCUGCUUAUUAGACACAAAGAACAAACUGCAUAAUUCACAGGACAGAACUCCAAGGCUUGUAAUAGAGCUCAACUGCUUCAAGUUAAACAUUAUAUGCGAGAUAGAAAUGAAGAUUGAAGAUGACUCAGUAAGGAAUCGGCACACGAACAGAUGAAGGCCCGAAUUUCAUGUCCUCGAUGAUAAGAUUCAAGAGAGCCUGUGUAACUGAACCUUCUGCGCCUAUAACAAAAGCAAAAGUUUUAUGUUGUUCGUAUAUCAACUUUGAUAUUACUUGCAAGCAAAUUAAUCUCAACUUGACAGUUCAUGAAAGUGUAAUAUAAUGCAUGGAAAGAAAGUCAAAUCAAUAUCAUUGCAGCUUAUAUCAUUCUCUCUUCUUUCCUAGCAUAAAAAGGAACAUGGUGAUAAGCCUUUAGUUUACUGCAUAAUGAUCGAUGUAAUACAAGAGAAAUAUAAAGUAUACAUAACAAACAAGUUAUCAGCAUGUUUUGAAUGCACAGGAGUUCUUACCAUCA